GGGGACCCGGAGGAGGGCAAGCCAGGAUGAGGCCCCCGAGCCUGGGAGGGGGAGAGGCCGGGAGGGAGGCCUGGCGCAGGCGUCCGCCUGACCCGGUUCAGACUUUCUCAAACCCACACGGCCGUCCACCGUCCACCUGGACCGGUGUCGCCCGUAUCACUUCCGCUGCGCACUGAGCACAGACGCUCGUGACGUGUGGUGGUGCACGCGCUGUUUGCUCCAGUCCGUGUAACCUGAAGUCGCCGCCAUCAAGAUCGUGGUCCUCAUUAGCACACUCACGUUCCUGGCAGAAGGUGGAAAACCCAGGGGUCCAUCAGCAAACAAAACGUGGUCUAUCCAUACAGUGGAACAUCACUCAGUCUUAACAAGGAAGAAAACGCUGACACCUGCUACGGCAAGGGCCUCGAGGACAGGAUGCUGAGUGGAACCGGCCAGUCACAGAAGGACAAGUACUGUGUCAUUCACUCAUAGGAGAUCGUCAAAUUCAGAGACACAAAGUAGAAUGGGAUGGGGCGGGGGGGGGGGGGGGGGGAAGGGCUGGGGGGGAGGGGGACAGCCGAGUUCUUAUUUAAUGAGGACGGACUUUCGGCUUGGGAGGAUGAAAAAGUGUUGGAGGCGGUUGCACGACAGUGUGAAUGUAAUGAAUACCACAGAACUGUGCACCUAAAAAUGGCUGAAUGGUAAAUUUUAUGUUUGUGCAUUUUACCACGAUUAAAAAAAACAAAAAACCAAAACAAAAACAAAACCGAAAUGCCUCCAUGCACCCAAGAGCUCAUCCUGCACGGGGAUCUACACACCAAGACUACCUGGAAGGCCCCUGCACCUUCCAACCAGAAGUAUUUGUCUCCUGGGUGGGCUUGCGUGGACCUGGCCAGAAUGGCCUCAUGCAGCUGGGCCUUGAGACCAGUGAGUGAAAUCUGGGCACUUCACUUACCUGCCAGGAGACAUCACAGUGGCCAGUGGGAACGCUCAAGACUCGAGUGGCCGGGCAAACUGUCCUGCGGGACCUUACGGGCUUGGAAUUCAGGGCCACAGGAAGUGGGGAGAGGACCUGAAUGUUCCAUGGCCUCCUGGAGAGAAGCCUCACAGCCGGGCAGUACACCCUCCUAGUGGCCUCCUGGAGGCUCCUCUUCCGGGAAGCAGGGAGUAGAGGGCAGGGGCUGUUCACUGUAGCCACAGUGACGCUGCUUUUCCAGAUUCUCCAGUCUGCCCGAGACGGCUUCGGACAGACACGGUGCCCCUGUGCAGUGCAAAGCCUCCAACAGAUCCUCUUUAAGGUUAUUGGGGGUCUGCUCUGUCCCAGGGAAGGACACAGCAUCCCGACUACUGGCCCUACCCCAUCCCCACUGUGGCCUCACUAGAGAGUGAAAGCAGAAAGGAAAAGGAGGCUCAGAGAGGUUAAGUGACAUGCUCAGGGUCACACAGCUGAUAACCUCAGAGCCAGGACCGGAAACCAGUCACUCUGACCACAAAACUCACACUCUCCUACAACUGUGUUUCUCAACUAGGAGUGGGUGAGUGAGUGUGUGGAGAGGAGCCCCAAGACAGACGUGGAUCAGCCCCCAGAGCAUUAGGUUUACUCAGACAUCUGGGGUGGGAGGUGGGGAAGCAAGCCAAUGGAUAAAAUCUUACUUCUUCAUUACUCAACUUCAUUACCUCGUCCCCAUAGUACAGGGGCAGAGCACAACACCCGUGUGGAUUCUUCAGUAAACCCAGGGACUUCGGGCUGGCAUCCGUCCCAUCUUCUGAGUUCACUGGCCCCCACAAUUAAGGAAACAUUGGUGGAAAAGUUCGAGAAGGUUAUGUUCCAUCUGCCACUUUGGGGAGAAAGUACCACCCCAUCUUGUGACGUGCUUCACGACGACUCACCAAAUGAAAGGAUAGGUCCGCUGGAACAGGUCGGCACGGGUGUCCUUUGUGGCUGCCUCCCAAGCCCCCCAGGUAUACUUCACGCCCACUGCAGAGCCCAACGCGCGGCUUGGAUUCACAACCCUGAGAUCAAGACUUACACUGAGGUAAGAGUCAGAUGCUUAACCGACUGAGCCACCCAGGCGCCCUUUGCUGCCUCUGUUCUGGCUGGGACCCACACCCUGCCUCACACAUGCCUUUUAGGACAGAUAAUACAUGUCUUCCUUAUAAAGGUCAAGGAGUUAAUGAUUUCUUUGGAAUUUUCCAGCACAACAGAUAACAUCUAAGGAGUGACCAGGUUGGGCAUCAUUCCCAAGACCACUGAGCCACCAAGACCCCUGGCUCCGGGGCAUUAGUGCCUUACAGAGGACCUCUAAACACUCGCCUUUGUUCCUGGAUGCCUGAGAAGACGUGUGCACAGGACCACAGUCCUCAGUAAAAACCCCAGAGUCCAAGCAAAGACUCUCUCUCCUUUCCGAGUCUCCCAGACACGGUCUGUCCCUGCACUCUGUGUCUGCAAGAAACUCCACUCUCACCUCCUGCUGGCCCGAAUUUGAUGUCACUCCUGCGAGAACCCAAGUACCCUCUUGUUUGGUUCCGUGAGACCCCCUCUGGGUCCUCAGACCCAGCCAGCCUGCAUUAAGGGGGGGUGCCCUGUGGCCCCAGCGCCUCCUGCUUCUCUGGACUUGACCCUGAUCCCGGCCACCCAGCCAUCACCAGGCAGUGUCUGGGAGAGAGAACGCCCGCUGCUUCUCUCACUUGCCCCGGCGGGGAGAGGGCCUAAAGAGGGGUGCAGCAACUCCCUGAGGCGCUGGAGCCUGGGGCGCCCCAGGGAUGACAGAGGCACCGCCCCGGCCCCUGGGGGUAGUGGUCCUUUGUGCCUCCCAGGCUGAGUCCCUGCACCCUUCCAUCAGUCUGUCCAUCUGACACACGGGGACCCGGCCACCCCAGGGUGAGGGGGACAGGAAGGUGCUUCUGAGAGCAUAGCCCUGGCAGACGCUCUGCGUGCUCAGGGGCUCUAGGACCCACAGGGGAGGCUGAGCAGGUGGGACUCCCUUCUUCUCUAAGGAGGGCUGUUGUUGGGCUCCUCAGUAAGACUCCCCCUGACGAGCGAUUAAGCUACUAAAAACCAUUUGAGGCCCCGCCCCCCCCCAUGAGGUGUCCAGUCAUGACCCCCAGGGCUGCACUGCACCAAGACCUCAUCGUUCCUCUUUGGGCCUCCUUACAGAAGGCCCCUUGAGACAGAAGAGCAUUGGACGAAGUCAAACAGACCCGGAAGAAAACCCCAAACAGCAGUGGCUGAGAAAGAUGAAAGUUUCGUUUUCUUGCACUCUCAAGACGUUUACAGGUGGCCGGGGCUCAUGCGGCAAGCAGUGUCACAGUGCCAGGACCCUGAGCUCCUUGUAUACUGUGGCUCUGCCGUGCAGUCUUCAUUUCCAACAUCAUCACCUCAUGGUCCAAAAUGGCUGCUAACGCUCCUGCCGUUAGAUCUGCAUUACAGGCAGCAGAAGGAGAAAGGGGAGUAGGGUGUGUCUUGCCCUUUAAGAACCUUUCCUAAUGUCAAACACUAUUUUUACAUCCAGGCCAAAAUUUAGUCACAUGGUCACACCGAAGUAUAAUGGAGACUGGGAGGUAUCUUGAUUCCAAGCAGCAAAUGCCCAGCGGGGAGCCCAGGGAGGCUAAAACCAAGGACAGAAGAUGAUCCUGUUUUAAAGUUGCUGGUUCCCGGGUUUACAGAUCGCCACGAGCGUUCGACGUGAUGAUUGGUUUUCCACCUGCAAAAGCUGACUGUCACAGCCUGGAAGUGUCCACAA